ensembl:lncRNA
GUGGAUUUGGUUUAAUGUUCUUCACCGAAGAGUUAUAUUUGUAUAUAGUCUUUCAGCAACCAUGUGAAUCCAAAAGGUGGUUGGGGUUUUUUUUCCUUUAAAUUCUGAAACAGGGAAAGAUCAUGAAUUUAUAUACCAAGAGGUCUGGACUCCUGUUGACCCCACAGAGACUGUGAUAAUUAAAACCUUCUAUUUGAGAGUUAAUUAGUUAUACCCUUUAAGGGAAAAAUAUGCACAUGAGAUUUUAUACUUGGUAACACUCGUGAAAAAUAACAGAGCUACAAAAAAUCUGUAGGAGAAAAGAACCUCCAAAAACAGGUUAAAAGUAAAAUAUUAGUUCAAUAAAGGAUGAGAAUAGGAUGAGAAUUAAAUAAAGCAGUCAUAGAGAACAGUUCAAUUAUUUUAAAUGGUACAUAAUUAUAUCUAUAUCAUUGCAUCUCUUUAAAUUUAAAUUUAAUAAAUUCUAACUCAUUUAAGGGAUUCCCUGGUGGCUCAGGUGGUAAAGAAUCCACCCGCUAUGCAGGAGACCAGGGUUAGAUACCUAGGUUGGGAAGAUCCCCUGGAGAAGGGAAUGGCUACUCCCAGCUUUCUUGCCUAGAUAAUCCCGUGGACAGAGUAGCCUGGGGGCUACUUCUAUGGGUCACAAAGAAUCGGAUACGACUGAGCAACUAAGCACACAGCAUACAUUUAAAUACAAUAAUUACUCUUUGCUCUCGUAAUAAAAUAUUCUACUUUGCUUAAAAACAUGUGUGCUUAGUCACUCAGUUGUGUCGGACCCCUUGUGACCCCAUGGACUGUAGCCCGCCACGCUCUCUUGUCCAUGGGGAUUCUCCAGGCAAGGAUACUGGAGCGGGUUGCCACGCCCUCCUCCAGGGGAUCUUCCCAACCCAGGGAUCGAACCCAGGUCUCCCACAUUGCAGACAGAUUCUUUACCAUCUGAGCCACCAAAAACAUAUAGUUAAUCCAUAAAUAACUAAUGAGAACAUAUUGUAGAGCACAGGGGACUUAAUGCACUGUGGUGACCUAUAUGGGAAGGAAGUCCAAAAGAUGGGGGUGGGGAGUAUGUCUAUGUAUGACUGAUUCCUUUUUCUGUGCAGUAGAAACUAAUACAACUUACAAAACCACUAUACUCCAACAAAAAUUAAUUUAAAAAGAGAAAAGCAUGCAAUACGAUCUGCAGACGUAACACACACACAAAUACAUAGUUAGGUACUCAGAAGCACUCCGGUGAGCUCUUUAUCAUAGUUAAGACAUCCCUCUCUUUUUCAUACAGCAGUCAAAAUCCAUGAGAAUCAGUAAACAGUUACCUCAGCAUGAGGUUUACAUCCACACUUUAUCAAGGGCAAAUAUCACAAGGAGUAUGUAGAAAUCUCUUAAGACAGAUGGUCAGUAACUUCUUCCAAACAUAUUUCUGAACACAGUAAUAAUGUUCUUUUCACCACUAAUCUGGUAAUUUCCUCCCUUCUUAUUAUGAAGUAUUACUUUCAUUUGUUGAGGAUAGUGGUCAUUUUCAGAUCAGGAAGAAUGAGGGAACCGCAUUGAAUGAUCCCAGAGUGCUGAGACUUAUUUUGUGAUUCAUAGUCAUUUUUAUAAAAAAGCAAUUUGAUUUCCAAUAGUUACAUAAAUAUUUUGAGGAAUAUUACUUAAUCAUUCCUCAUGUAUUUUAACUCACACCCUUUAUUACGGAUGAACAACCAGUAUGAGAAAAUGCAGAUGUUGAUCAACCCUGAUCACCAGGAGUUGGUGAUGGACAGGGAAGCCUGGCGUGCUGCAAUCCAUGGGAUCUCAAACAGUCAGACACGACUGAGCGACUGAACUGAACCGAUCAACCUGAUGUUAUUGGGAGGAAAGAAGCCGUAGCAAGAAUCUAGUGUUGAUCCUCUCCCACCUCAGCAAGUGGAACCACUGUCUAGACAAAACAGAACCCUCACUGGUAGUGGAAUUCCCCAGUGAUGUAAUAGGUUGUCAGUUUCUUCCCUUCAAUUCUGAGCUCACCAGCUAAGAGCUAGACACUCAGGACCAAGGUACAGUACAUGUGCAGAUACAGAGGUGGCUUAAAUAUAUUUAAGACAAAUAGAUGAUGGACAAAUAAGCGGAAGAAGCAAGCUGCUGUUAUAUUUAGAGUAAGAUUUCCAAAAUCUGUAGUUUAAGUUUUAGAUAAAAAUUACAGAGUCCAAAUCUUUUGUCUCGGUGCUCAGUAUGGAAUGUGAAUAUAAAAAAACUAGUCAUUGGAUGAAGAGGUAAUUCGAUUGCCUUAUUGUCAGUACUAUAUCAUACCUUAAGAUCAAGUAUGACUGUGGAACAGCAGUUUAUCAGUAUGUUGUAUAAUUGUUGAUCAAUUUAGAAAUAAGAGAUUCAAACCUUGUUUCCUCUCUGUAAAUAAGAGGAUAAAAUAAAACAUCUUGAAUUUGAAGUGUUACUUUAAUAUUACCAAAUUUUAGUGCCUGAAAGGGGUACUUAUUUGAUUUUCUUUCUUCAUACACGAGUCUUAAGUGUUUUUAGUUAAAGUUUUGAGCAACAUUUGACAUUCAUGAUUAUUUUCUGUUUAGAUAUCAUAGCUCUGUUUUCCCUCUUUAUCAUUUCAUUUCUAAUACAUUGAAAAGAGGCCAUUACCCCAAAAAAAUUACAAAAUAAUUCAGUUUCUCUAUACAGUGUGAAGGAUGAAACCUAUUUCACUUCUUCCUUCCUUUUCUGAACAAUUCCGUCUUCAACGUAAGGAUAUUUCACAAGGCUUGACUCAGUGCUGAACAAGUUUAGCCUUUCAUUGCAAUUGCCAGAUACUAGCCAUCUCACCAAAUCAGCAGCUAUUCACCACAUCGUGUGUAUAUUAAUUAUACAAAUCAUUAAGAGCUGGAACUUCCCUGGUGUUCCAGUGGUUAAGAUUUCACCUUCCAGUGCAGGGGAUGCAGGUUCGAUCCCUGGCUGGGGACACAGAUCCUGCAUGCCUCAAGGCCAGAGAACCAGAACAUAAAACAGAACCAGUACUGUCACAAACUCAAUAAAGACUUUUAAAAACACUUUAUUAAAAAUAAUAGUUAAUAGUUAUUUAUUCCAGUCAUUAAAUUUCAGUAGUGGAAUUUUCAUACUGGAAAGGAUUCAAAUAACUCAGAGAAACAUGUAGUAAAACUUUAAAAUUCCCAACCUGCAGAAAAUCUGGAUCCCUUUCCAGGGGUAGCCACUAUUAAUAGCUGGCAUGUAUGUUUCCAGAUUCUUUUUGAUAUACAUGACAUCUCAUGCUUAUAAUUUCAAAAGAUACUGUUCCUUAAAUUUUUACUCACAUUCAAAUUAUAUAAAAUUCAAAUUACCCAACCUGAGAGUGAUAUUCAUAUGAGAAUUCCAAUUUUUGCACCAGAUAUCUAGAAACUUGCCUAUUGCUAAAAUGAAGAAAUAAAAGUAAAAAUAAAAUACUGUAAUGCUUGACAGAUGUACCCAGUGCUGCUCUUCAUUUUUUCUACAAAAGCAUGCAUUUUCUUCCAUGGCUUGUGGUAGUUUUCUUUUUGCCUUAUCAGAUUCUGUUCUACUGCUUUUCAGAAUUGAGUCCUCUCUCCUGCCCACAUCAUUUAAGGGCUACUACCAUCACAAUCCCUGGUGGCUCAGACGGUAAAGAAUCUGCCUACCAUGCAGGAGACCUGGGUUCGAUCCCUGAGUGGGGAAGAUCUCUUAGAGAAGGGAAUGGCUAUCCAUUCCAAUAUUCUUGUCUGGAAAAUCCCCAUGGACAGAGAAGCCUGGCAGGCUGUAGUCCAUGGGGUUGCAAAGAGUCAGACACAGCUGAGUGACUAACACUUUCACUGUACUUUUCACCAUCAUGAUACAGUAGAAAAAGUAUGGGAUUUGAAGUAAUAAAAUCUGGGUACAAGUUCCAACUUGGCCACUUACUAGCUGUGAGUUCUUAAGUAAAUUAUGUGUGUUCUCCACCCCUCAUUUUCCCCAUUGUAAUAAGGAAUGGCCACCAAAAAAAAAAAAUCACUGCCUCACAAGGAUUGUUUUGAAGAGUAGAUAAGUUGCAGUUCUUGCCCAAGGACUUGUGAUCCAAACUAGACAUAAUAGGCAUCGUGUCAUUCAAGAUAGACUCCAUUUUUCUAUGGCUUAAGUAACAAACCUUUAUUUCUGAUUGACGCUGUGUGGUCAUAUGACUCUCAAGGGGCUCUGCUCAGGGAUGCAGGAUAACCAAGGUUACAUCUCCAUACAGGCUUCUUUAGCCAACUUGGCAGGGGAACUCUUUCAGAGGAACUAUGGCAAGAAGAAUACUGGCUUUAAAGGCAGCCACAUGGAUGGGUACAUUUCACUGGUCAGAGCAGUUUGAAUGGUCAUGUCUGACUUCCACAGCUGAUGAAAAAGGCAUUCCACCCAGGGUCUAGGAGACAGGGACUUGGAAAUUACUGAAAAGCACGGACGACCAGCACACAAAUGUUUAAAAACAUUAGCUAUAAUAUCAAGUGUUUUAGGGGGAGGGUGGAAAGUCAUUCUUUGUUAUUUUCUUAGACUCCAAAGAUAUUCAAGAAAGAUUUCCAAGGGAGUCUGAGGACAAAGAUGGGAACCUUGUAUGGCUGUCAGGCAUGGUAAAAGGGAACACACGGUGAGGAAUUCAGUAAGAAAAAAGAGCUCCAAUGCAGGGAGUCAGUUCAGUUCAGUCGCUCAGUCGUGUCUGACUCUUUUUGACCCCAUGGACCACAAUACGCCAGGCCUCCCUGUCCAUCACCAACUCCCGGAGUUUACCCAAACUCAUGUCCAUUGAGACAGUGAUGGCAUCCAACUGUCUCAUCCUUUGUUGUCCUCUUCUCCUCCUGCCUUCAGUCUUUCCCAGCAUCAGGGUCUUUUCGAAUAAGUCAGCUCUUUGCAUCAGGUGGCCAAAGUAUUGGAGUUUCAGCUUCAAAUGAGUCCUUUCAAUGAACACUCAGGACUGAUCUCCUUUAGGAUGGACUGGUUGGAUCUCCUUGCAGUCCAAGGGACUCUCCAGAGUCUUCUCCAACACCACAGUUCAAAAGCAUCAAUUCUUUAGCGCUCAGCUUUCUUCACAGUCCAACUCUCACAUCCAUACAUGACCACUGGAAAAACCAUAGCUUUGACUAGGCAGAUCUUUGUUGACAGAGUAAUCUCUCUGCUUUUUAAUAUGCUGUCUAGGUUGGUCAUAACUUCCUUGAUGUACUCCUUUUCCCAUUUGGAACCAGUCUGUUGUUCCGUGUCCAGUUCUAACUGUUCCUUCCUGACCUGCAUACAGAUUUCUCAAGAGGCAGGUCAGGUGGUCUGUAUUCCCAUCUUUUUCAGAAUUUUCCAGUUUAUUGUGAUCCACAUAGUCAAAGGCUUUGGCAUAGUCGAUAAAGCAGAAAUAGAUGUUUUUCCAGAACUCUCUUGCUUUUUCGAUGAUCCAGCGGAUGUUGGCAAUUUGAUCUCUGGUUCCUCUGCCUUGUCUAAAACCAGCUUGAACAUCUGGAACUUCGUGAUUCACAUAUUGCUGAAGCCUGGCUUGGAGCAUUUUGAGCAUUACUUUACUAGUGUGUGCUGCUGCUGCUAAGUCACUUCAGUCGUGUCCAACUCUGUGCAACCCCAUAGAUGGCAGCCCACCAGGCUCCCCCAUCCCUGGGAUUCUCCAGGCAAGAACACUGGAGUGGGUUGCCAUUUCCUUCUCCAAUGCAUGAAAGUGAAAAGUGAAAGUGAAGUCGCUCAGUCGUGCUCAACUCUUAGUGACACCAUGGACUGCAGGCCACCAGGCUCCUCCGUCCGUGGGAUUUUCCACACAGGAGUACUGGAGUGGGUUGCCAUUGCCUUACUAGUGUGUGAGAUGAGUACAAUUGUGCGGUAAUUUGAGCAUUCUUUGGCAUUGCCUUUCUUUGGAAUUGGAAUGAAAACUGACCUUUUCCAGUCUUGUGGCCACUGCUGAGUUUUCCAAAGUUGCUGGCAUAUUGAGUGCAGCACUUUCACAGCAUUAUCUUUUAGGAUUUGAAACAGCUCAACUGGAAUUCCAUCACCUCCACUAGCUUUGUUCGUAGUGAUGCUUCUUAAGGCCCACUUGACUUCACAUUAUAGGAUGUUUGUCUCUUGGUGAGUUUUCACACCGCCAUGAUUUUUUCUACAGUUCUCCUGUGUAUUCUUGCCACCUCUUCUUAAUAGCUUCUGCUUCUGUUAGGUCCAGACCAUUUCUGUCCUUUUUCAAGCCCAUCUUUGCAUGAAAUGUUCCCUUGGUAUCUCUAAUUUUCUAGAAGAGAUCUCUACUCUUUUCCAUUCUAUUGUUUUCCUCUAUUUUUUUGCGCUGAUCACUGAGGAACUCUGCAUUCAAAUGGAUAUAUCUUUCCCUCCUUUGCUUUUUGCUUCUCUUCUUUUCGCAGCUAUUUGUAAGGCCUCCCCAGACAGCCAUUUUGCUUUUUUGCAUUUGUUUUUCUUGGGGAUGGUCUUAAUCCCUGUCUCCUGUACAAUGUCGCAAACCUCUGUCCAUAGUUCACCAGGCACUCUGUCUAUCAGCUCUAGUCCCUUAAAUCUAUUUCUCACUUCCACUGUAUAAUCAUAAGGGAUUUGACUUAGGUCAUACCUGAAUGGGCUAGUGGUUUUCCCUACUUUCUUCAAUUUAAGUCCAAAUUUGGCAAUAAGGAGUUCAUGAUCUGAGCCACAGUCAGCUCCCGGUCUUGUUUUUGCUGACUGUAUAGAGCUUCUCCAUCUUUGGUUACAAAGAAUAUAAUCAAUGAUUUCAUUGUUGGCCAUCUGGUGAUAUCCAUGUGUAGAGUCUUCUCUUGUGUUUUUGGAAGAGGGCGUUUGCUAUGAUCAGUGCGUUCUCUUGGCAAACUCCAGUAUCCUUUGCCCUGCCUUAUUCUGUACUCCAAGGCCAAAUUUUCCUGUCACUCCAGGUGUUUCUUGACUUCCUACUUUUGCAUUCCAGUCCCCUAUAAUGAAAAGGACAUCUUUUUGGGGUGUUAGCUCUAAAAGAUCUUGUAGGUCUUCAUAGAACCAUUCAACUUCAGCUUCUUCAGCAUUACUGGUCAGGGCAUAGACUUGGAUUAGCGUGAUAUUAAAUGUUUUGCUUUGGAAACAAACAGAGAUCAUUCUGUUGUUUUUGAGAUUGCAUCCAAGUACUGCAUUUCAGACUCUUUUGUUGACUAUGGUGGCUGUUCCGUUUCUUCUGAGGGAUCUCCUGAGUUAAAUUCAUCUGAGUUAAAUUCACCCAUUCCAGUCCAUUUUGGUUCACUGAUUCCUAGAAUGUCGACGUUCACUCUUGCCAUCUCCUGUUUGACCACUUCCAAUUUGCCUUGAUUCAUGGACCUGACAUUCCAGGUUCCUGUGCAAUAUUGCUCUUUACAGCAUCGGACCUUGCUUCUAUCACCAGUCACAUCCACAACUGGGUGUUUUUGCUUUGGCUCCAUCCCUUCAUUCUUUCUGGAGUUAUUUCUCCACUGAUCUCCAGUAGCAUAUUGGGCACCUACCAACCUGGGGAGUUCAUCUUUCAGUGUCCUGUCUUUUUGCCUUUUCAUACUGUUCAUGGAUAAAAUGUGGUACAUUGGAGAAGGGAGUACAGGGAGCACAGAUUCUAUUCCUUGUUGGAAAACUAAGAUCCCACAUGCUAUGACAUGUGACCUCAAAGAAAGAUAGAAAAGAUAGAAAAGAAAGUGAGAGAAGGGACGAGAUUAAAGUGAAACAAGCUAAGUUUAUAUGUGACAAGAGAUUAAGCCACAGGUUUCUAGGUCUGAAGAGGGUUGCAAACUGCAGCCUAGGUGAACUCUUCCUCAAUCCCCUCCAUGGAUCAUCAGAUGUGGGGGACUUCCCUAUAGCUCAGACGGUAAAGAAUCUGCCUGCAAUACAGCAGACCUGGGUUCAAGACCUAGGUUCGAUCCCUGGGUCAGGAAGAUCCCCUGGGGGAGGAAUUGGCAACCUACUCCAAUAUCCUUGCCUGAAGAAUCCCAUGGACAGAGGAGCCUGGCGGGCUACAGUCCAUGGGGUCUCAAAGAGUUGGACAUGACUGAGCAACUAACACGCACAUCAUCAGAUGUAGGAUGCCUGCCCGCACAGACGACCUUAGAGCCGCUUCACUCCACCUGUGAGCUCAGUUCCUGCUGUCGCCUCUGCUCCCUGGCACUAUGGUCUUGCUCAGUUCUUGCUCCUCCCACUGAACUGCUCCUGCUUCAGGUGACCUCCCCGCCACUGACAGUUCCCAGGGCUCUUUGUCAUGGCAGAUCUCUACCCAGUCCAUGUUGGCAGUGCCAUGGCCACCAGGCUUCAAAAGCCACUGAAACAGUAGCAGCAGGGUUUUCUUUCUGUCCCCUCAGAUCCUCUAAAGAGCAUUCGGUUUUUCUCUUUGGGAACGCAUGUAAGAAUUAACGAUUUUAAAAUUUAAAAAUAAAAAAUAAAUAAAUAAAUAAAUAAAAUUAAGGAAUUAAGCCUCCCUCAUUAUUUAAAAGGAAAGUAUGUCAAUUGCAAUGGAGAAAGUUUAGAUUGCUUUAUUCCACAUCCUGUUUUGCCUAAGAUUCCUCUGUGUGUGCGUGCUAAAUCACUUCAAUCAUGUCCAACUCUUUGCAACCCUGUGGACUGCAGCCCGCCAGGCUCCUCUGUCCAUGGGAUUCUCCAGGCAGAAUACUGGAGUGAGUUGUCAUGCCCUCCUCCAGGGGAUCUUCCCGACCAAGGUCAUCAUGUUUCCUCCACUUUGGCUUAAUUGUAGAAGAGUUACAAAUCUCCAAGAUACUUAGGCUCCCAUUUCUAUAAGUUUAGAAUGUCUCUGAUUAGAAUAUUUCUUCAAAAAUUUCGCCAACGGGCACUGGAAUGGUGUGGGUGUGUAUUUGCGUGUGUGAGAGGGCUGAGGGUAGAGCCCAUAGGGAAGAGGAAACGUAAAGCUUCAAGAAGAGGAAACAGGGAAUGGUCUCAUUACAUUUGAUCAGCGGAAAACGGCAGUCAAAAAAACUAUGUGUACUUUGGUUUUGAAAUUUUUCGUCUCUAUUUUAUGGUCAAGGGACAAAAUGGUGUAAAAUUCAGUUGUAUAAAAGUAAAAUUAUGCAGAUGAGGGAACUGAAGCAAUUCUGUGAGGAUUCCCUUGAUCACCUGAAGCAGCCAGCAGAUCAGUGGGAGGAGCAAGGUGGAGGGACAGUUAGAUGCGGUUGCCAUGGCAACCAUGUGCGGAUUGGAAUAAGACUGAGGAAUCUUGAUUCAUCCCCGGCUCUGCAUUUUCCUUUACCCUCUUCUUAACUGGCUCUUGAGGAUUUGCAGUCCUUGGGGUCUGGGUGCUAUCAAACCAGGUCACAGAAAGACAACAUAUAGCCUGAGGUAGCUGUCCCCUCGCCAGGAAGGCACAGGUUCUUCCUGUGCCUCGAUAAACAGGGAAUAUGUGUAAGGUUUAAUCAGGGAGACGAAAGCGAGCAAGAAUCAUCAGAAUGCCACGCUUCCAGGCCAAGUCCUGGAAUGCCGCAGUUCUGAAAUGUAAGCCUAGAGAAGCCAGAUGAGUCUGUGAAGUGCAGGUAUAAAAGACCAUGAGUUCAUUUUCUGAUGUUAAGAAGAAACUCUGGUGUUACGAGAGACAAAGGUUUGUCCAGAGAGUAGGAGCGGGAGGCACUUUUUUUCCAGCACGUAUUUCUGAGCUUCAGCUUUCUUAUCUGAAAGAUAAAAUAAAAAUGCCUGCCUUGAAGGUUGUCAUGGGGACUAGAGACCCAGUGUAUCAUCCUCAGCAGCUCAGAUGAGUUGCCUGUGACCCUUUCAGAGGGGGAAAGCAUGGGUGGCCAUAUUGAGAACAGUUGCAAAAUCUCAGCUGAUAGUGUUUUUACCUUAAUAGGGACGAUAGAGGUUAGCAUCAUCGGUAAAGCUGUGAAAAGCCCUCGUCCUCUGAGGAUCGCCUCCUUAGAUCCCUACUUAGGGGCCCGCAACGCCCAUUUGUGCUUCUCCUGUUGGCAGUUGCCUUCCUCAAAUAACAUGGACUGGGGUCCACCCCUCUUGAAACAGGAUGCAUGGAUUAGGUGAGAUUUUUAUUUUGCUUUUGUUUGGUUGAUUUUCUUUUUAUCAUCUAGAGAGGGUGUAGGAAAUUACAUAAGCCUCUGUGUGUGUGUGUGUGUGUGUGUGUGUGUGUGUUUGCUCAGUCAUGUCUGACUCUGUGAUCCCACGGACUGUAGCCUGCCAGGCUCCUUUGUCCAUGGGAUUCUCCAGCCAAGAAUACUAGAGCGGUUUGCCAUUCAUUCCUCCAAGGGAUCUUCCCAACCCAGGAGUCAAACCCCUGUCUCUUGAGUCUCCUUCAUUAGCAGGUGGAUUCCUUACCAUUCGUGCCACCUGUGAAACCCAUGUCAGCCUCUACCUACUCUAAACAGGCAUGUCCAUAGUCUGUGCCUCUUUUUCAGAAGGAAUUAUACCUUCAAGUACAUAAACUUUCAGGGAAAGUUAUUCCUUCUGCAUACUCUCUAGAACUGUGGCUCAGUGGUGCACUUGUUAUUUUAUGCUCCACUUUCAGACUUUCCAGUCCUGAAGUUCUUGACCUGCAGCACAUGGGUCUACGAAUGGAAUUCAGAAGGUCUGUGAGGCAACUGAAAUUGUAUGAAAAAAAACCUGCAUGUGGUUAUAUACAUAGAUGGAGUUUUCUGGAGACUCCCGGGGUUGGCAGUGACUCAGAAAGUUUAAAAAUAUCAUAGUCUAAGUGUUCUGUGCCUGUUCUCUUGUUGGUAGUUAUGUGUUUUGCCACUGAGGAGUUCGUAAGAGUAGAAAAAGAGGGAUGCAAUUAAGUAAAUUUUUUUAGUAAGAAAAACCAUAUUCUCAGAUUCCAAAUUAAAACUCAUUUCUCUAUUACCUAGCACUGUGGCAGUUCCUGUGUAAUACCACUAAAACUUCACCAAAUAAUGUACUCAAAAUCUGUGCAUUUUACUAUAGGUAAAAAACAGUCCCUGGUGGUUCAGACAGUAAAGAGUCUGCCUGAAAUGUGGGAGACCUAGGUUCGAUCUCUGGGUUGGGAAGAUCCCCUGGAGAAGGAAAUGGCAACCCACUCCUAUAUUCUUGUCUGGAAACUCUCGUGGACUGAGGAGCCUGGCAGGCUACAGUCCAUGGAGUCGCAAAGAGUCGGACACGACUAGGCGACUUCGCUUCUUCUUCUUCUUCUUCUUCACUAUAGGUAAAAUUUACCUAAAACCGUAAGUAUAUAAUGGACUCUAAUUAAUGAUAUGCGUAUUUAGGGGUGAAGGUAACUGAUAUUGGCAACUUACUUUGAAAUGGAUCAAAAUAAUAAGAUAGGUUAAGUGAUGGAUAAAAGCAUAGACAGAAGUAGAGAUAUGUUACCAAGCAAAUGCAUCAAGAUAUUAAUUGUAGACUCUUUGUAGUGGAUAUAUAGAUGUUCACUGUAUAAUUCUUUUGUUUUUCUUGAAAAGUUUAGUAAAAUGUUAACUCUAUAUAUGACACAUAAGAUAGAAUAAGGGUUGAAAGAGAGACUGGAAAUUGAUUUUAUAACUUUGAUAUUGAUUGGUUCGGUUUGGAGGUAAUUGUUUAAUACAUAGAAUUAAACCUACAAAUGUUCAGAUUUCAAGUGCAAAGAAUUCCUGGUCAAGAGGAAUUACUGUGAUGUAUCUGAGUGUGUAUUAGCAAGACAGCUCUCCAAACAGUGACCCUUAUUGCCUCUUUUUCCCUAGAUUUGGUAAGAUCUUUUCAUAGUUUUAUUUUGGAGCUUAUUCUAACACAAAGCUCCUCUUGCCGUUAAUUAUUUUCUAGUCUCCCUAAAUAUUUCUUUGCUUGAUUUCACACCAUUAAUCUUAGUAAUUUCCUUCUGCCUACCUACUUCAGAUACAUCUUAUCUUAAUCACCCAUCACUAGUAUGUUGACAGUCUUCACACACUACACCUCAGCUGAGGAAAGACUUGCCGUGUUCUUCCUUACAUUUUACAAGGCAUACGUCAGUCUCUAAAAAUCAACCUGUUAGAAUUUUUUCUUAAUAAGAGAGUCCUAAACAAGAUGAGAUUUAAUUUUACCGCGUUAAUCCAGGCAUGAGUAGUUUUAUUAUCCUGCUUGGACCAACGUGCUUAAUAAUUGAUCAUGAGAACCACAGAAACUCUAGCACUAAAACUCAGGAAGUUACUAAUUAAAAAACAAAGCAGUUUCUCCAUUUUAGCAUAGCAGGCCCUGGCUCACUGUGGGUGACAGCUCACACCAAGCCACUGCAUCUAAGGGCAAAUGAGACAAAUGGAGCAAACCAGAAGAGCUUAUUGGAACAGAUGAGGAGGCUUUGCUUUCACAUUUGUGUGCUUCAUGCCGUAGUCAUUAUAGGUAACUGUGGUUUUCAUUGUUGCUUGGCCGCUGAGUCAUGCCUGACUCUUGCGACCCCAUGAACAGUAGCCCACCAGGCUCCUCUGGGUCCAUGGGAUUCUCCAGGAAAGAAUGCUAGAGUGGGUAGCCAUGCCCUCCUCCAGGGGAUCUUCCGCAUCCAGGGAUCAAGCCCGCAUCUCCUGCACUGACAGUUAGAUUCUUUACCACUGAGCCACCGGGGAAGCCCACCAGUUAAUUAUUAUGUUUCAGAUAAAACUGUGGUGAUUUUUUCCCCCAUGACAAUAAGCAACUAAGUCACUAGAUCUGUGUUGUGUUUUUUUUUCUCUCUUUUCCUUUCAAAUGACCCCAGUGUUCAAAGUCAGAUCUUUUGAAAAGGACUUGGAGCAUCAUGAGACGUGAUAGGUGCUUGGAGUGCAAUUUUAAUGCCAACAGACUGGAAAACAAACAGCAUAACGCAGACAAGGGAUGACUUUGUUCUGUAGCAUCUGCGUGAAAAGGAAAUCAGAUCUUUCUGGGUUGUGCUCCCGCUCACAGGUGGGGAAGAGAAGAUGUCAGUUCCCGACUCACCGCGUUGUGGGUGGGAUUCCGGUUUGGGGGACGAGGCAACAGGCUAUUGGAUUGUCUCUCACAGUAAGAGCCCAAUUCACCUAACUUCAUGGGUGUUUUGUUUCGGUCAGCCACAAGUGGACCUUAAAAAGGCAUGAAGCGUCCCUUAAUCCCAUGAGCGUGGUAUGUGCUGGCUCUAGUCACUGCGUUCUCCAACUCUGUUGCCAGUGGAAGUGAGAGACUGACCCCAGGUCUGCCACCAAACCACUGAGCUCUUGUCACUUUAAUUGUUUUAUACCAGGAGGAAGCCAAUUGUGUGGAUGUGAAUGUCUCAUUCACCAGACAUUACAGGCUUCACAUUUUCAAUGAGCUGAAACUCCCAAGUCCACAACGUGUAACCGCAGUGAAUCGAGACAAGCGUGCCGUGAUGACGUUUUCUAAUUUAUUGCAGUUGCUCUUUAAAAGAUUUGACAGUGUUUCAGAAUUCUAAACACCAUAGUUUGGAAGUCUGUCUGAGGUUGUGUGCUAAUCAAAAACAGUAAAUCAUGUUUGACUUAUAAAGGACGGCACAGUAGUAAAACUAAGAAUUAGUACCUAUUUCCCCUCUUUUUUGAAUGUAUAGACAAAUACAGACACUCAAGUGAAUAGACAAUUUAUCAAGGGCCUACGGCAUCUUUCUGGUACCUGAAAAUGUCCAAAUUAUCCCCAUGGGCUACGUUUCAAAAAUGCAGUGCUUGUGAAGAGACUUCGUUUCUGUGUUACCCAGAGUCCAGGCUUCUCUGGAUGUUUCUCAUGGGCAGAAUGAGACCUUUCCAUGCCAAGUACUACAAAUACCAGAGCUUUGUGAGCCUACUGCAUUAUCUGAUUUGAUGUCGUCCUGAAAAAGGCAGCUGUUUACCCAUCAGUUUCACAGAGGCAGCUCACGUGUGGGUAGCACGCAACUGCCCUUGGGUUGCAGACGGGCGUGGCGACUCCCCUGGUAAAAAGCCUCCAAGACCUCCUCCCUGCAUAAAAAAUAAAGCCCACAGUGCUCAGCAGGACAUGUUAGACCCUCCUUCCCACCCUCACCUACCCUGCCCACUUCCCCGCAUCUAUUUCUUGACAUCCAAAUACAUGCCUGCCCCAUAGGCUGCUCGUUGCAUCCCGGAGCGCGCUAGGCUGUUGGAGACUGCCUUCCUUCCUCCUUUCCUCCUUUCCACACGUUAACCUUUUUUGCAAUUUUUUGAGACUAAUUUUAUGUAUUUGCUUUUGGCUGUGCUGGGUCUUCAUUGCUGUGCGAGUUUUUCUCUAGCUGUGGUAAGCAGGGGCCACUCUCCUUUACAUAUUUAUUUAUUCUAAUUGGAGGAUAAUUGCUUUAGGAUAUUAGGAUGGUUUUGCCGUACAUCAGCAUGAAUCGAUCACAGACAUACAUGCGUCCCCUCCAUCCUGAACUCCUCUCCCGCCUCCCUCCCCAGCCCGUCCCUUCAGGCUGGCACAGAGCACCCUCUUGGGUGCCCUGCGUCAUACGUCAAACUCCCACUGGCUGUUUUACGCAUGGUAAUGUGCAUGUCUCACUGCUCUUCUCUCAAAUCAUCCCACCCUCUCCUUUUCCACGGAGUCCAAGAGUUGGUUCUUUACGUCUGUGUCUCCUUUGCCGCCCUGCAUGCAGGCUCGUCAGUACCAUCUUCCUAGAUUCUCUUGUUGCCGGCCACUGGCUCUAGGGCGUGUGAACUUCUGUGGCUGCAGUUCCCCGGGCUCUAGAGCCCAGCUCAGUGGCUGUGAUCCACGGGCCUAGUUGCAUCGCGGCACGUGAAAUCUUUCCGGAUCAGGGAUCAAACCCCUAUCUCCUGAGUUGGCAGGUGGAUUCUUUAUCACUGAGCCACUAGGGAGGCCCUAAACUUUUAUGCAUCUCUCAAAGCCCACGUCUUCCUCACUGCCUCGGUCCCUCUGGGAUAACACUGUCACUUUCCGCUGACUGAGAGGGCGUUGUUGCCCUGGCAAUGGUCUAGGGCAGCAGGGAGGUGCUGGUAAUGUUUAACAGCCGUCUCCCCAGAAAGAGCAGAAGAGCCCUGAUUGGUCAGUUGUCCGUAUCCCAUGGUGUAAAUACACCUCCUUCCACUGCCAGUUUCAAGGGUGGCUGUGUUUAACAACAGCUUGCAAAAUUCCUGAAAAUGUUAACGUCAGGCUCUCUCACAAACCAGUUCAUGCCAGCUUCAGAACAGCCCUGGGACCUCACGUUAAUAGUCUUUGUCACAGUCUCUUUCCCCACGAAACACUGGACUACCUUAAAAAUAGAUGCUCAGUAAGUGUUUCCUGAAUUGAAGUAGGCAAGCCAGCCGAUGGUUUGGUUCAGCCACUGGUCAGUGAGUGUGGUGUCAUUUGCCACAAAGAUUCAGGGAAUGUUUGCACUUCUUGUUACUUGAGAGCUAGCCGUCUCCUCCACACAGCACCACAUUGGUAUAUGUGAAUUUAAACAGACGGAUUUAUUGGAAGUGCAGCUGAGAACUGCGGUGAGGAGCAAGUUAAUGGUCUUGAAUUCAGCAACCUCAUUAGCACACAAUGUGAUCUGCUGUGGCGUCAAUAAAACACAGAGGAAAGCCUGAAAUAAGGACUCAGAGAGAUAUAUGACAAAUCCUUUGAGGGGCUGAGCGGAGAGAAGGCUGUGGGUUCAGUUCCCACCUUCUUUUCAACAGAUCCUUUGCCAUUCUUGAUGUGGAGCCUUUGUCUCACUCUUGUGACUCACAAUUUGGGAUUGGAACAUCAGCAUAUUUUAGUUCCUGCAGUAAAGUGCAAAGCAGGCUGGCUCUGUUUUUAUAAUCAACUUGGAAAUAACAACAUAUCAAUCCUGUUGUUCCUAUCAGGGUGACCAACUCCCUCUGGUUUACCCCAGAUUUGAAAUUGGAAGUCCCAAAUCCUGAAAACCCCCUCAGUCCUGACAGAGUGGGACAUUGGCCACCCCAGUUUCUGUAGAGGCUGUGCUUCCUAUAGUGAAUGCUCUGGGUCCUUAGACUAAGAAUAUUCCUCCUGCGGCUGGUAUGUCAGGAGACACUGAACCAGUGACUAAAAGGAUCAGAACUUUUUUGAAAGCCCAGUUUAUAAAAUCUGUUCUCCUCCUAGGGUUAUGGUACUGUUUUUCAGGCACAUUCUUUAAGUGAGAAGACACACGGAAAUGCUACAUGUGCACAAAAAGUUGCUAUUUAUUUCUCAAAAUGACAUACGUGUCCCAAAUCUAUUACAUAUUCUCAGAACUUGUCUUAGGUAGGAGAGAAAUACAGCAGCUUGCUAUGAUGGGAUAACCAGUCUCAAAAUCCUUUAAAAUAGCAUAUUAUGAUUUGGGGGGGCAUACAUAUCAGAUGAUACUUCCCAGGUGGCUCAGUGGUAAAGAAUCCACCUGCCGAUGCAGGAGACACGGGAGAUAGUUUUGAUCCCUGGGUUGGGAAGCUUCCCCUGGAGGAGGAAAUAGCAACCCACUCCAGUAUUCUCGCUUGGAAAAUCCCAUGGACAGAGGAGCCUGGUGGGCUACAGUCCGUGGAAUCACAAAGAGUGGACACAACUGAGUGAGCAGACGCACACAUAUAUAUCAGAUGACUUUGCACGUGGAGAUUGGGAACUUCCAUCAGUCGGCCCUCAGUGGUUUGUUGUUCGGCAGCACUGUUCAUAUGGUGAACACGGGAAAGAGUUGGUGGGGAGCUCAGCUGGGUGUCCAGUGUCCGAGUCCUUCACAUGACCUUGUUGGACCGUCCGUCCUCGCUGUCAGCAGACAUUUCCUGGUGGAAAUGAUGUGUUGUGGUCACGUCCACAGUGUGUUACCUUGUGACAGUAUCAGAUUGUGCCCCACAAGAAUAGAUGUUUCUCUUAUGAUAUGACAUAUGUGUUCCUGUGUUUAGCAGACUGCCACAGUAAAAAUUGUGCAGCUUAUGGGAAGAAAGACAGUAAGGCACAAAACACUCAGAAUGUAUUCAGCAUAGUGCUUUAGUAUGUUUGAGCUGCUGUAACAGGAUGCCAUAGACACGGUGAUUUCUCAACAAUAGAAAUUUCUUUCUCACAGUCUUUGAGGCUUGGAAGUCCAAAGUCUAGGCACCCGCAGAUCUAGUGUCUAGUGAGGACCCUCCUCCCUCUCCUUGCUGAGUCCUCAGCUUGUCAGAAGGGACGACAGAGCUCUCUGGGAUCUCUCAGUUGUUUAGUUGCUAAAUCGCUAAGUCAUGUACAACUCUUUGCGACCCCAUGGAUUGUCGCCCAUAGCCCAUAGUAUUUCCUGGAGCAGGUUGCCAUUUCCUCCUCCAGGGAAUCUUCUGAGCCAGGGAUCAACCCCACAUCUCUUGCAUCUCCUGCUUUGGCAGGCAAAUUCUUUACCUCUGAGCCACCAGGGAAGCCCAGAAUCUCUGUAUAAGGGCACUAAUCCCAUUCACAUGGACUCCAUGUGAAAUACCAUCACACUGGGGCUUAGGUUUCAACCUGUGAAUUUGAGGGGGGAUACAGAUAUUCAGUCUAUAGCAGAUAGCACUCACAAGAGCUAUGAAAAAAACUACUCAAAAUACUAGCAUAGUUUACAGGUGAAAGAGGUUUGGUGGAAGGAUUGAGGCUUCCAAAUUUGGAUCAAAAGGGCAAAAUGUGCAGAGACCCAGGAGAACUAUACGAUAAACAACACCAAGGGUGGCCAAAGCAACCGAGAGGAAAGCAGACCGCAUGUACAGUACUGUAGACCCUUUCAGCUUGCACGCAACUGUGUUUACGUCUCUUGCACAACGGCUGCUGUGACUUAGUGGCUCAAAACUGUAAGACUGGCAGGAACUCACUCCCAUGAACCAACACGACUUCUGGUUUAUGCUGACACUGUUCUCUAUUUACCAAUCAAAUGUGAUCCAGAAAUACACUUUAGCUUUGCAGAUUUCUGCUGAAUAAGAUGAUUCAUGAGACAGAUUCAAAUUGUAGGUGAUCAUAUAUAUUGAAUUCAAGAAAACACCUUAGCAUGACAUUUUCUUGUGCUUCAACACUUUGGACAGUAAUAACUAGACAGCUUUUAAUUUGAAAGAAAAAAAAAAUCCACCCAAAAUGAAGUCACAUCUCCUUUCAGAUCUUUUAAUUAAAGUCAGACAUGAACCCUUGUGUUUCUCUGACUGCUAAAUACUUAGAAGUGGUUUUAUGAGAUUUGUGUGUGUGUGUUUUAAGUUGUAAAAAAUGCACACACUGCUGGGUUACAUGACUUUGGUUUAUUUAAAUAUAGUUUAGUAGGACUGUAAUAUAUAAGGAAGGUGAAGGGGUCAGAAUUCUGUUUAAUUAACUUAUACCCACUUGGAACCAGUCAAUUAUAAAGGUAUGCUGAACAAAUAAAGCUUCACAUAUGAAAUCCUUGAAAAGAAUAAGCCCCAGGGGGACUUGUCUGGUGGUCCAGUGUUUGAGACCUCCCCUUCCAAUGCAGGGGGUACAGGUUCGAUCCCUGGUCAGGGAACUAAUAUCCCACAUGCCUUGUGUCCCAAAAACCAAAACAUAAGACAGAAGCAAUAUUUUAACAAAGUUAAAUUUUACAAUUAUAAUAUUUGUAAUGAAUCAUUAUAAAAUUAAUAUUGUAACAAAAUUAAAUUAAACAAAUUGCAAUAUUCUAAGCAGAAUUAAAGAUAAAGACUUUAAAAAAAUCAUUCACACCAAAAAAAAAUCUUAAAAAAAGAAUAAACCACUUAGUGAAGGCUUUCUUUUCUUAUUCUUAACUUUGUCAUUAAAAGUAUUUCUAUGAGCUAUUUCCAAC